CAAUCCAGGUCGGUUUCUAUCUAUGCAGCCGCCUUCUUCAGUACGAAAGGACAAAGAGGGGGGGACCAAUGCCAUAAGCACGUCCCAAACUAUAAACUGUAUAAAACUAAAAUAGAACNGCUACUACCACGACCAAAGAUCGUGGUU
rnacentral:rRNA from 1 species